rnacentral:lncRNA from 1 species
UGUUAUGUGUUCAGAACAUAAUACCUUUAUGCGGAUAAUCGAUCACCAUAAUCUGAUCACUGUUGGGAGAGUAUGAUCAUCGCAAUACAGCCACACAGCAUGUCUGGCCUCUGUAGAUCGUCCACACAAAGCUCCCGAUCUGAUCGGCUCCUCACGAAUGCUAGUUCGUGACUGCACCUUUUUGAUGGUCGAUGUUGAUCGAACUCCUUAGAUCGAUAUCUGCCAACUCUUCGGAUACCCUGGAUCAUCAGCAAAGAUGGUAGAGAGGUGGAUGAUGCUCUUCCUAA